UACGUAGGGGGCAAGCGUUGUCCGGAAUUAUUGGGCGUAAAGCGCGUGUAGGCGGCUCGGUAAGUCUGCUGUGAAAGUCCAAGGCUCAACCUUGGAAAGCCGGUGGAUACUGUCGAGCUCGAGUCCGGAAGAGGCGAGUGGAAUUCCUGGUGUAGCGGUGAAAUGCGCAGAUAUCAGGAGGAACACCGAUGGCGAAGGCAGCCAUCUGGACCGACACUGACGCUGAGGCGCGAAAGCGUGGGGAGCAAACAGG
rnacentral:rRNA from 1 species